rnacentral:lncRNA from 1 species
GUUAUCAUCUAUGUCACAAUCUAGAGGUUGAACAGCUUUCUCACUGUCCAAAUUCUUAGGUGAGUCUUCCGAAUUAAGUCCUGUUUCAGGUAUACUGUAAGAGAGGGCAAUGAGCGACUCCCGAGUCAUGUCCUCAGAAAUCUCCUUACCAGGUUCUUUCUUCUCCAUAAAUUGACAAUCUUUUUCCAGCAUGUCAUAAUGAUGAAACAAAUAGAAAAGAUUCUAGUUAAAGGCUAUAGCCAUAUAAACCCAUCCUCAGUACAAAUAAAAUUCAAAAUUCAUUGUUGCACAGCCGCUAUUAGCUUACUAUCAACUGGAAAUUUAGUCCCUUAAAUUGCAUCAACAAAUCAAUUGACUUUUAAUGGCAAAAAAAGACUCAGCUGACUGAGGCACGCUCUUAGAAAGCAGAACCUUCCAGCUUGUACUUUUAAUUUUUCUUAUGCUACCAUAGACCAUUCAAAUUGACUUUUCUAUGGAGAUCCUAAUAGACAUUCUCUUGAAGACUCACCAAAACUAGAUAAUUGUUUUAGGAGGAGAUUCAUGAUUUAUAUUGGGAAAAGUUCUCGUAAUCGAUUUUAUUUCUUUCGCAUAAUUACUAGUUUAAGUUUGAAAACUUCUCUUUUAUUAGUUUGGUAGCUUUACUCAUUCAUAAGGAAGACAGGGGUGUUUUGUAUUAGACAGACUAUUGAAUUGAAUUAUAGAAAUUAAUCAAAUUAUUGAAAUUUCCUCACUCAAAUUUUCUUCUUCCCUCUUCUUCUCCCUUGUUCUCUCUCCCGCUCAUUCUCUCCCUUCUUCUCUAUAUUCUUAAUUAACAAGUCUUAUCCAAGAAAUAGCAAUGGAUAAAAAAAAAAAAUAGGAGGAAUGUCAGGUAUGUUGUCCGCAUAACCCAUUCAAUUUCAAAUUCCAGCAGAAGGCAAACUCCUCAUCUCAAGUAAAACAUGCAAUAUAGAAAAAAUUAACUAACAAACAGCCUACCAACAGGAGCAGAAGACAAAAUUGUUUAUAAAGCACAUAAAAUACUAUGGGUGAUCCUUGAAAGAGUCCUCAUAAAACUGAAGUCUUUAUAUAGCCCUUGUUUGAUGUGGAUUAAAAUCAAUUUUUCAGUAGAUUUUGAUAAAUAGUUGAAAAUUUGUGGAUCCUAUAAAAUUUGUGGUUAAAAUUAAUUGUUGAAUUUGACUUGGAUUAAUCUCCACCAAGCAGGAGCAUAGUAUUGCACAAGACUGCUCAAAGCAGCAGCUUCAGUACCUCCACUUUCAGGAGAACAUCAUUAAGCUUUGUCUAUCUAAAAUAGAGCAAUUAUCUCGCGUAGUUAGGAAAUAUCAUUCAUUAUUAGCCCUCUAGAGCCUAAUAGCAAUGAUAAAUUGGAAUUAGUAAUGCAUUGUGAAGAUUUAACAAUGUUCUUAUCUCGCAUAGCAAAUACUCCCUCCAUCCAUAAGGAUAGGCUUGUUCUCAUUUUCCCAAAGAUUAAGAAAAUGUAAUUAAUAUAGUUGAAAAUAUAAUUUUUUCUCAUAUUUUUUCCUAAUAUACCACUAGAUUAAAUAAUUUUUUUAAAUAUGAGUUGCUCAUAUUUGUUGAUAACAAGACCAUUAAAUAGGGGUAUGUUAAAAAACUAAAAAAUCAAUUAUACUACGAACAAGGAAAGUAGCAUAUAAUUUGAAACAAGCCAAAAAGGAAAGCAAGCCUAUCUUUAUGGGACAGAGGCAGUAGAACAGCAGAGAGCAAAAAAUGACAUUCCUGAAUUAUUCUAGACGUCAAAGGUUUUAUAAAUAAGAAAAUUCAAAUGAACUUCAAAACCAUUCUGGAUUUAUUUCAUUUGCUUUUCCAUUCAAAACUUGUAACAGAGUAUUUAGAUGACUUCUUUGAGCGUCCAAACGACAAACCUAAUAUAUACCUCAAGUAAUUUAAAGUUAUAAAAUUCAAUGUCUGCUCACUAACAAAUUCAAAUCAAUCUGCCACUUCUAUCAAUAGUAUGGUUAAUUGAAUCCAAAGGUUUACCUUUACCAAACAUCNNNNNNNNNNNNNNNNNNNNNNNNNNNNNNNNNNNNNNNNNNNNNNNNNNNNNNNNNNNNNNNNNNNNNNNNNNNNNNNNNNNNNNAAAUUGACAACUUGGAGGAAAUAAAUAUUUACCCUACUUGCCCUAUUUCCAUUGAAGAGUUGAAAAGAAAAUAAAGGAGUAUGAUCCCCUCUCCACGAGAGAGAGAGAGAGGAAGGGAUUCAAAAAUUUUAUUCUUUUCGUAAAAUCAAAGGGGAGCUCCAAUGCAAUUCUUUAUUUUGCCAAAAUGACAAGUUAUAAGUGGAUCAUACACGACAUAUAUAAAACUAGUGAAUUUAUACAAAUAGAUUAACAUAUGGCACAUAUUCAUGAGCAGCCACACAUAUUGCUCGGGUCUACACAAGCCCACAAGAAACACACAUGAACAUAUAUGAUCUUGCCAAAGAUUACACUGUUUGUAAUAUAUUAGGAAUAGUGUAAAUAUGAAGUGUUGAGGCAUACGAUAACUUUGUCUGUUGUAGAAGGCACUAUUGGCUGUCUCAAGGAGAUUGUACAGAAACAUCAUAAUGAAUUAGUAAUGAGAAUUGGUUCCAGAGAUCUCUAAGGCUCUCUCAGCACAAUGAGUUAGCUAUUUGAAUAUACAGAUUGCAUCCAGGAUAUUAUUGUUCUCAUUUUUUUAACAAAAUACUGCAUAAUUGGGAAUGCAUUUGGAAAUAUAACAUGGUGUCAUGGAAAUGUGUAAAUUGUAAAAUUAACAUGAUCCUAUGCCAAUACUUCUCUAUAUCAACCCAAGAAGGAUGUUUUUGUCUGAAACAAAAGGUCACAUAGGUUACUUGUUUCUCUCUUCUUCAUUCUUCAUUUUUCCAUUAAUCUAGUGAGGGAUUGACAAAUGCUUAACAUAUUUUACAUUUCUGUUCUUUGAAAUGCUAUCUUCUUCAUCCUUCUCCUCACCUUAACAAAGAUUGUCAAAUACAAAUCAACAUUCUUGUUUGGUCUUUGUUCCACUUUCUUUACAUUGUUUCUUUCAUAUUUUGGGAAAGAUUAUCAACUCCUUUUCUCUGAUACCUUUUUGUUUACUACACGGAUGUCCUAAUAGAGAGCUUAUGAAAAAAGUAUCCAUAUAACAAUUUCAGAUAAGUCUGGUAAUUCUGAAUGCUAUGGGUCGUGUGGCCAGUCCAACUCUCAAAGCACGCACCACGGUCGACAAAGAUGGCACAACUGAUUUACAGAGGUGAGCUUUGAGUUGGGCCUCGAAGAGGGCUACGACCGAGGUAACAUCCCAACCCACUCACAUAUCGAAAUGUUAUUUGCCUUGCUUGAAGGAUCAGCAAACAAAAGACCUGGCAAGUUUGCGAAAACUUGCCAAGUCAGUGCUACCACGCAAGGUACGGCUUUGGUUUUAUAAAAGGAGUACGAACCCACCAAAGACAGAGGAGGACACGCAAGCUCUACUAUCUUUCUCUAGCUUUCUCACCCUCUGCUCACCAGCCACCCCCUUUUCUCUGUACAGAACCACCACCUAAACCUGCAAUCUUCAUUGGAACACACCAGCAACCACCAUAAAACGUAAACCUGAAAAUUUUAUUCCUAUCAUCUGGCAUAACGUUCAUUCCAGUUAAGUAGAAUUUAUCUUCUUUGUGGCAGAGCAUGAACUGGUCUCAUCCCAAAAUGCAAUUCAUGCUACAACUAUUCAUUCAAUAAUAGCACAUCAUAAGUAUUCAUUCAAUAAUAGCCUAAAACGAAGGGCUAUUAAUUUAAACCUUGGAAAGAAGACCUUCAAACCGCAAGUUGCAACACGAAAGACAGAAAAUCUCGAAGCAAGUUCAUUUUAAUAAAAAUUCGUGAAAUAACUGCAAAAGCCCCGAUCCGAAGCCAAAAAAAAUUUUAAAAACGCAAAACGAUAAUUUCCAAAAGAAGAAACAGAGCAUCCAACAAACAUGAAUAUAAAAGAAAACAAAAACAAUACAAUAAAAAAAUAUAAAUUAAGAUAGAUCUUACGUGACAUGUGAUCCGAGCUCGAGAAAAAAAACCAAGUCAGUCAAAAGUCAAAAAGAGAAAUCAAUUCCAAAAAUUGAUCUAGAAAAUAGAUUAUUUUUAUGUUCGUUUGGUGAAUAAGAGAUCAUAUUGAAAAAUAAUUUCCCAAAAAUUACCUGAAUUACAGGUUUAUGCUGUUCUUGGUUGAUCGGAUAAUAACGGUGGGGUGAGUCAACGGAUUUUCCAAGCCUUUGCUCACUCUGACAAUGGGGUCCCAAAUGUUUUAUUUAUUGCAUACUGACUCCUGAUUUAUCGCAUAGAUAUUCAUCCGAGGAAAUGAAAAUUUUAUGACUGGCUCUCCAUUGUGCGAUAAUGUCGUGUAUUUGAAUUUGUGGAACCGAUUAUGCCUUUUAAACUCCUUAAAAUUGCAGAAGAUAAUAUUAAUAUUCUCUUAGAUAAUUUCCCGAUUAUAUGAG